GAGGGAAAGGAGGAGAAAUGGAGACCCAAGAUGGGCAGGUCCGAACACUGUUUUACCCAGUCUGCCAAGCCCCCCAAUAUGCUGUUUCCUCUGCACAACAUGCCCUUCCCAUCCCAUCCAUCCUCCAUCCCAUCCUCCCGCGCACAGGCCAAGUGCUCAGCAAGAGAUGUUCUCUGUGCCUGCUUUUCUUC